UGUAGAUGUAGUUCAGGGUUAGAGCAUGUGUUUAGCACGCACAAGGCCCUAGGUCUGAUUCCCAGUACUACAG
rnacentral:tRNA from 1 species